rnacentral:rRNA from 1 species
UACGAAGGGGGCUAGCGUUGCUCGGAAUCACUGGGCGUAAAGCGCACGUAGGCGGAUUGCUAAGUCAGGGGUGAAAUCCUGGAGCUCAACUCCAGAACUGCCUUUGAUACUGGCGAUCUUGAGUCCGGGAGAGGUGAGUGGAACUGCGAGUGUAGAGGUGAAAUUCGUAGAUAUUACGGAGGAACACCAGUGGCGAAGGCGGCUCACUGGCUCGGUACUGACGCUGAGGUGCGAAAGCGUGGGGAGCAAACAGG